rnacentral:lncRNA from 1 species
CCGAUUCUUGGUCUCCGUGAGGGGGAUUCAGAUUUUUCGAGCCUUGAAUCUGAAAUAGGGGACUCGAAUUUGCUUGAAUCUGAAAUAGGGGAUUCUUUGUUUUGUUUCGGUAGAUGCCGAUUUUUUUGGAGAGAGAGAGAAAUAAGAUCACGAUUUUGGUCUGGAAUGGGUGAUUGUUGGGUCUAAAAUGGUAGAUGAAGAUUUGCUUGGAGAGAGGAAACCACGAUUUGGGGUCUAAGGAGUUAUUUUGUUUUGGAGAGAGAAAAG